rnacentral:rRNA from 1 species
CGGACGGGUGAGUAACACGUGGAUAACCUACCUAUAAGACUGGGAUAACUUCGGGAAACCGGAGCUAAUACCGGAUAAUAUAUUGAACCGCAUGGUUCAAUAGUGAAAGACGGUUUUGCUGUCACUUAUAGAUGGAUCCGCGCUGCAUUAGCUAGUUGGUAAGGUAACGGCUUACCAAGGCAACGAUGCGUAGACGACCUGAGAGGGUGAUCGGCCACACUGGAACUGAGACACGGUCCAGACUCCUACGGGAGGCAGCAGCC